rnacentral:rRNA from 1 species
GAACGCUGGCGGCGUGCUUAACACAUGCAAGUCGACGGUAAGGCCCUUCGGGGUACACGAGUGGCGAACGGGUGAGUAACACGUGGGUGAUCUGCCCUGCACUUCGGGAUAAGCCUGGGAAACUGGGUCUAAUACCGGAUAGGACUCCUGGCUUCAUGGUUGGGGGUGUAAAGCUUUUGCGGUGUGGGAUGGGGCCCGCGGGCCUAUCAGCUUGUUGGUAGGGUAAUGGCCUACCAAGGCGACGACGGGUAGCCGGCCUGAGAGGGUGACCGGCCACACUGGGACUGAGAUACGGCCCAGACUCCUACGGGAGGCAGCAGUGGGGAAUAUUGCACAAUGGGCGCAAGCCUGAUGCAGCGACGCCGCGUGAGGGAUGACGGCCUUCGGGUUGUAAACCUCUUUCAAUAGGGACGAAGCGCAAGUGACGGUACCUAUAGAAGAAGGACCGGCCAACUACGUG